CACCGCCAAGAUGUAGCUAGCCUCCACUGCUUCUUUUAGGUAAGAGUGCUUCAUCAGAGAUCAGAAGGUUGAUGCUAGUUUCUAGCUUUGGUUUAGGUAGAUCCUCCUCUUUCAUCGAUGCCAAAAAUUUUUUUUGAUAGUCCUUCCAGAAUGAAUAGGUGUUCCUAUGACCAUCAUGAGUACCACUGUGAUCAUAUUUGUUAGAUAUAUAUAUCA
rnacentral:lncRNA from 1 species